rnacentral:tRNA from 1 species
ACCUGGAUGGCUUAGUCAGUUAAGUGUCUGACUUCUGCUCAGAUCAUGAUCUCACAGUUUGUGGGUUCGAGCCCCACGUCAGGCU